AACGAACGCUGGCGGCAUGCCUAACACAUGCAAGUCGAACGAGAUCUUCGGGUCUAGUGGCGCACGGGUGCGUAACGCGUGGGAAUCUGCCCUUUGGUUCGGAAUAACAGUUGGAAACGACUGCUAAUACCGGAUGAUGACGAAAGUCCAAAGAUUUAUCGCCAGAGGAUGAGCCCGCGUAGGAUUAGCUAGUUGGUGUGGUAAAGGCGCACCAAGGCGACGAUCCUUAGUUGGUCUGAGAGGAUGAUCAGCCACACUGGGACUGAGACACGGCCCAGACUCCUACGGGAGGCAGCAGUGGGGAAUAUUGGACAAUGGGCGAAAGCCUGAUCCAGCAAUGCCGCGUGAGUGAUGAAGGCCUUAGGGUUGCAAAGCUCUUUUACCCGGGAUGAUAAUGACAGUACCGGGAGAAUAAGCUCCGGCUAACUCCGUGCCAGCAGCCGCGGUAACAC
rnacentral:rRNA from 1 species